rnacentral:lncRNA from 1 species
AGAUGCUCUAACCACUCAGUGUCUACCCAGGCAGAGACCCUCCUGACCUGAAUUGCAUAGAUACAGGUGUUAGAGCAUCAGGCUCUGCCUUAAUAUUUUUCCGAUGAUGCCUUUUCUUCACCUUGCCUCCCUUUACUUCUGUCUGCAGAAAAAGGAAAAGCGGGCACUGGGGAACUGGAAGCUGCUGGUCAGAGGACUGCUCAUCAGAGAAAGGCUGAAACUCCGCUACGGGGCCAAGAGUGAGGCAGCAGCUCCCCAUGCAAAUGCAGGAGGCGGACUCUCUUCUGAUGAAGAGGAAGGGACCAGUUCACAAGCAGAAGCUGCCAGAGUUCUGGCUGCUUCCUGGCCACAGAACCGAGAGACUAAAGAAGAACAGAAGCCCGACUACACGAAGAUGACUCGGAGAAGGCGGGCAGCAGAGGCUUCCCAUCUCUUCCCAUUUGAGAAGCUAUGAAGCCAGUGUCCUCGAGGCCAGAGAAGGCAGAUAGCUGAUGGGCCUGGGGACUAGGAAGUUGUGCUGCAGAUCAGUCUGACACCAGCCCAGCUGGAUCCCCAUAGGGUGGUGCGGUAAGCUGCCCAGAGUCUACUCUGGUGUUUGGAACACUUUACUGGGAGAUACCCUCUGACCCCUGGACCUUGGUAUUCCUGUCUUUGGAAAUGGGAGUGAGUUUUAGAGGGUCUUAUUUGUUUUCCCAGCUGGUGUCAAAUUUAAAAUCCCUGUCUUAUAGUGAGGGCUGAGAUUAUAUGCAUAUACCACCAUGCCUUAUCUACCCUUUAUUUCUGUUUUUUUAAAUAGAAGUCACUGGGAAAUUAUGG